rnacentral:lncRNA from 1 species
AUGCCAGCUCUCUGUCCACCCCUCUCCGUCGUCUUGGCCGAGCAGGAACUGGGAGCUGGGGUGCCUCUGACUCGGGCAGCCCUGGCCCCUUGGGACCAUCAGCUGUGCCUGGUCUGUCAAACGGGGUCACACUGGGACUCAGGGCCCGAGACAGAAAGCAGUGGGCUGGGCAACAGCAGUGCCCUUGGCCUCCACUCCUGCUGGUCUGCAAUGCCAGCUGAUUCUGUCUCGGGCUGCACAGCCCAUGUGUGCCCUGUACUUGUGUCUGCCCAUGCAGGGUGGGCCAUGCCCGGGGUGGUGGCAGGGAGGUGGUACAGUGUCUCUGGGGAGAGGCAGACCCACCCAGAUCCCAUGGGGAGGGCAGACAAGGGCAUCCUCCUCUCAACAUCCCAAAGGGAAGGGCCGUCCGCUGCUAGUGGACAGGACGACACGCCUGGACCGUGGAGCACAUGUCAACGGUGGGAACGGUGCGAGCUUUCCCAUGAGUCACCACUCGAGUGGGUAGCCUGGGUGGGGAGCCAGGGGAGGGCAAAGGAAAACAGAUCAGCAGCUCCUUUGUGCCGAGCUACCUCUUCCCCAGGGGUGCCUCUCAGCGGGCAAGGGGCUGGGCCACAGACCUCCCGAGGAAGGAGGGGCCUGGCGCGAGGGUGCCUGGCUGCAGCCCGCCAGGGGGCCCCCGCUCCCCCGCUGUGCCCCCCAAGUAGCAGAGCCGAGGCAGGUGCUCCUCCCCAGCCUGCCCCCUCCCACAAAGACAGCCUCCUGGAGCCUCUGAGGUCUGUGUGGGCAGAGCUGUGGGCCAGGCCCCCAUCCCCCACUUGGCUGAACCCCAGCAGGCCAGGUGCCAGGCCAAGUGCCGGGUCUUCCAGAAAAACCCGCUCCUCUCCCAGCUCUGCCUGCAGGCCGCCUUGCUGGGAGGCCAAGAGCCAAGCAGGAUCUCGGCAGCCCACCACCAAGCAGCGAGCACAACCCAGAGUACAGGCGCUGUGCACUCCCACCAGACGCCUCCUCCAGGAAGUCUCCCGGAUGACACGGGCUGGGUCGGGUGCUCUGCUCGCCCGUCUCAGCGUGCUUGGUGGGAGUGAAACUCACGUGUGUGCCUCUGUCUCUGUGGGCCACGAGAACCUGAGGGUCCGGCUCUCCUUGCAGCCCCGGCUCCUGCCUGGCCAGGUGCUUGGGGAAUAUUUGCUGAAUGCGUGA